rnacentral:lncRNA from 10 species
CAAAAAUAUUUUUAACAACAAAACUUUGUAUUUCCAGUGUGAUCUAAACACAAAAUUAUGCAAAACACAACUAAUAUUUCUCUCCUACUGGCUAAAUCAUGCCAGUUGUUUAGGUGCAAUCAAAAAUAAGCCACUAAUGUUAUUUUUAUAGGAAUUGGCAAGUAAUUGCCAACUAUAGCUAUUAAAAGUUUAUAUUUGCCACAGGAGCCUGUGAUUUUAAAUACUGUUCAAAUGAUUUAUGCUUGAGAGUUAUACAUAGCACAAAUACAUACAUUUGUAUCUACAGGUCUAAAGAGGAAAAAUUAGACAAAAAGCAACUUGAAAAGGAACCCCUUUAUUUUUAAUGACCUACCUUUGUGCUGUAUUGAGAAAAAGUAUAAAAAUUAUUUGGGAGGAAGAAAAAUAUUUCUAAGCACUAAUUUCAUAGGCAAAAGCCCUAUUAUUUUUUAUGAUAGGCUAGGGGAAAUCAAUAAUGAUUUAAAAGCAAACAGUAAACUGCUCACAUUUACCAGUCUAUACUCAGUAUUAAUUCUACCCUGCAGUGUAUGCUAUAGAAGGUAAUGAAAUGCUGAUGUUUUCUGGUUUUCCACUUCAAUCUGCUCCAGCUUUAUCCUAAACCUUGUCAGCAACAGAAGUUACCCCCCAGCAAUCAUACAAACCUAAUAACGGCUUCCCUGGCUUAAUUUGAUCUGCUCCAAUCACAAAUUCCAAUCCACAUACUUUCUUCUGUUAUGGUUGUGUCUGUAUGUGUUUAAUGUACUUUUUAUAAGGCUUUUUUACAACAAGCGCAUGGUUUUUCAUUCAGCCCUCUACCACAUAAACAGAACCACUGAAGAGCAUUUUUGUUCAUAUAAAAAUGUUUUAGUUAUUCAUAGUGUAUGUCUUCAAUUGGCUGCAGAUUACAGUGAACAAAAGUAUUGCUGCCAUCAUUUUACAUUUCUCCUGUUACUGUGCCCUAUCUGCUGUGUACCCCUGUCCCCAAAGCAUUUAUUAUAAUAUUUGCUGCUUGCUCUCAGUUUUGGACUGAGAUGCUUGGGGGUGGGAAAACUUAAAACUUGCCUGACUCAAGUGCUCUCUAAGCUUUGAUCCCAGCAUCCUGCUUUAACCUGCUCCUGUUGGACCUCUGCCACUUUACUGACCCCAUAAAACAAACAGAGCUAGCAAAUGCAUCAAACAGCCUCCUUCAAAAUGCAGCUUGACUGUGAUUCAUGGCACAAAGCUGGAAUAACCCUGCCAGUUCUUAGAAGCUUUAAGAUUCAUCGUCUUGAACUUGAUACACAUAGUAUAGCACCUUAAAAACGAAUCAUCUGCUAGUUCAGUAUUUUCUACUUACAAUCACUCCCUCCCAGGGCAUGUAAUUAAUUUACUGAGCUUAAAAAAAAAAUAUCAGGAUUACUCACACAGUCUUGAAGAUGCAAUGUCAGCUAUUUAGGACAGAAACAUCCAAGGCCGUGUCAGAACUCAAUUACGACUACAUAUGCAUUAAGGCAGGAACUGGCAGGCCUCAGGGUACGCCAACUAUAGGACUCGUGCUUCUCGUACGCUGGGCUAUAAUCUAUGAAACUGAGCUCCAGAGCCAGCCAAUCACUUAGCUCCUCAUAACAAGUCUAACUGGCUCUGGAAAGCUGAAAGGGCUGCACUGGAACAACACAGAUGAGAUAUUCUACACAUUAAUCUACUUAUCUGGAAUCACUUUGCCUCUAAAGGCCAGAGAAAAAUCACAGCUUCCUUGUCGGAGGGGAAAAGGACAGGUGAUCUGGGGAAAACGCAGCUACACCUGGAGCAAGGUCUCUUCCCGGCUUGGCAAUCUCAGCUGUGCCGGCGCUACGGGACCCGAGCCGUCCCAGAAACCAAAGGGCAGGCACGGCAGCAAACGCCUGAGCCUGCCUUGUACUUCAUGCAGGUUGAACAGAAAUGUUUUCUGAGCAUGUAUUGUUACAGCCCUCUGAGAUGGUAUAAAAGAAUGAAAGAAGACACGACCUGCCUUCCAGGAGUUUCACAAAAAAGAUGGGAUGAACACAGUGUUCACUUCCACCUUCCACCCUUUCACUAUGAAGGACCCUCACCAGAUGGUGGCACCAUGCUCUCGGACUUCCCAGCCUCCAGAACUGGACGGGUAAAUUGAAGCAAAAAGCAGACAAGUUCUAUGGGAUUUGCUGGCAUUGAUUUCCCAGGAUGGCAAAGUGCUAAGAACUAAACCUUUAAAGCUAACAAAAUGUACUGAUGUCUUUGCAAAGUAUCCAAGACCAACAAGAAAGUAAUUUCCCACCUCACCCUACCACCACCCAGAAAAGGAGCACAGAGAUGGGGAAGAGAGUGGCUGCAUCUGGCAUCCAGCCAGAGGAGUCCGUGCAGGGAUUCUGGAUCCCUCUUCCCCCACCCCACUGCCCUUCCCCCUCCACCCCAGCGUUUUGGAGAAGCAAGAAACUGUGAUGAUGCAGCUCCCUCAAGUAUCACAUGAAGAUAGUGGAAAGAGCCUCCUGAGGUAAAUAUGCCAUGUAGACAGAAACAAGCAAUGGCUCAACAGCAAUGUAUGAGGUCCAAGGACCAGGACCAAAGGGAAAAACAGCCAUCUCACCAGACACCUGCCUACGACCAGAUGCGUCAUCUCCAAUAUUAGCUAACUCCCUGGAACCUGGACUCAAGGUGUGAAAUAAAGGUUAAUGGGAAACCGCAGGAGUCAAAAGGAGGGGGCAGGAUUAUUGAGGAUUCAGGCUGUUGAGAAAUGAAAGUUUGGAUCACUCCCCAGAUAAAGAACCUUGACCAUUUAAGGGCAAUGGAAAUACAGAAUAGGCAGUAGAAGAAGGAAGCCAUAGAUACCAACUAUGGCCUCUCAAUCAAUUACAAAACUGAGAAUUCUGACAGUUUUGUGUAUUUCCUCUUUGCAUGUGAUGUAUAUGUGUGUAUUUGUAUAUAUUAACCAUUUUCCUUUUUCUCUCUUCAUUAUUUUAUGAAAGUUGUUGAAUAUAAACUCUACAAUUUAGCCUUUAGGUAAGAGAAUAUUCAGUGGGACUUUGAUUUGAGGAGUAUUUAAGACAGCCAGAUGAGACUACGAUAACUGUUGGAACUGUGUGUCUCCUCAUUUGGGGAAAGGGGUGAGAACUCUGCAUUUCUCUGAAGAACAGAGUUGACUUUGUGUUAUACAGAGUUCAAAUAUAUAUAUAAAAUGGUGCAUGUGGAAGCUAAGAAGCCAAAGGAGUUCACCAAGACAGUUAUCAAUAUAUUGCCUCUCCGCUCCAAAUCCACCCUUCUUUGCCCUGUUCCACGAUACUAAUCUGGCUCCUCGGUCAGCCAGUGCAAUGUCAUCUGUUGCUGGUAGAGUGUAGGGGAGACACUACAAGGUAUAGUAAAGGGGUCAGAUGCGGUGUCUCAUGCCUGUAAUCACAGCCCUUUGGGAGGCAGAGGCAGGAGGAUCACCUGAGGCCAGGAGUUUGAGACCAGCCUGGACAACAUGGUAAAACCCCAUCUCUACUGAAAAUACAAAAUUAGCACGCACCUGUAAUCCCAGCUACUCGGGAGGCUGAGGCAGGAGAAUCACUUGAACCUGGGAGGUGGAGGUUGCAGUGAGCCAAGAUCGCAUCAUUGCACUCCAGCCAGGGAAAAAAGGCAAAACUCUGUCUCAAAAAAAUAAAUAAAUAAAAUAAAAUAAAACAAGGUAUAGCAAAUAAAGGAGCAUUCCUUCUUGAUUCUUCCUGGUUCUUGUUACCUGUGGCCGCCACCAGUGGUGUAUGGGAGAGUCACCCUACAGUGAGUUCCACCAGCACCUAGUGAGGGCUUCCUACUGAGUUUUAUUGUCACCCGAGCAGGCAAUUUCCUUGCCAGCAGUAUGCAGGAGACCCAAUGGUGACCACCUUCCAGUGGGUUUUUCCAGCACCCUAGAAGGCACUUUUUUGACCACAGUGCUGAUCCACUGGCACCCAACAGCCAGUACCCUACUCACCAGGCCUGGCCUGUGGCACCUCAAAGAACUUUUCUAUCCUGCGGGCCACAGCACCACCCUCUCCAACAAGGUCUGAAUCUCAGCCUUCAGGUGUGAAAGACCCUUCCAUGUUUGUUCUUUUCUUGGGUAUCCUCCCUCAGUCCUAGAAGUAGCAGCUCUUCCCUAUGUUUGCUAUUUCUGUGUUAUUUAGCAUACAAUUUACCCCUUUUGUAGUUUAUCACAUUUUGCCAGUUAAUAAUUCUUUAUAGUAAAUGUUCCCUCUUCAAAUUACUAUCUCUCACCAAACACUGACUUCUAUAUCCUCAUCAGACACUGAGUGACACAACCUCCUUCAGAAAAGAAUCCCUUUCACCCUGCCCUUCAUGAUGAACACUCUCAACAAAUUAGGUAUAGCAGGAACAUACCUUGACAUAAUAAAGGCCAUAUAUGACGAGCCCACAGCUAACAUCAUACUGAAUGGGGAAUAACUGAAAGCCUUUCCUCUAAGAACUAGAAUAAGACAAGGACACCUACUCUAAGCACUCUUAUUCGGCAUUAUACUGGAAGUCCUAGCCAGACUUUCUCUUUCCGGAAAGAGAAAGAAAUGAAAGGCAUCCAAACUGGAAAACAGGAUGCCAGCCAGUUGUGGUGGCUCAAGCCUGUAAUCCCAGCACUUCGGGAGGCUGAGGUGGGCAGAUUGCUUGAACCCAGGAGUUCAAAUCCAGACUAGACAACAUGAUGAAACCCUGUCUCUAUGAAAAAUACAAAAAUUAGCCAGGUGUGGUGGCACACACCUGUAGUCCCAACUACUCAGGAGGCUGAGGUGGGAGGAUCACUUGAGCCUGGGAAAUAGAGGAUGCAGUGAGUCAAGAUCACACCAGAGCACUCCAGCCUGGAUGACAGAGAGAGAUUCCAAUUCAAAAAAAAAAAAAAGGAAGAAGCCAAAUUGUCUCUACUUCAGAUGACAUGAUUUUACAAAUUCAGUAAUGUUACAAGACACAAAAUCAAUAUAAAAAAUCGGUUGUGUUUUUAUACACCAAUAACCAACUAUCUGAAAAAGAAACCAAGAAAGCAACCUCAUUUAUAACUUCAAAAAAGUCUCAGGGAUAAAUUUAGCCAAGGAGGUGAAAGAUUUCUAUGAAAGCCAAAACAAAACAAAACAAAAAACACUACACCCUGAUGAACAAAAUUGAAGAGGAUACCAAAAAUAGAAAGACAUAUUAUGCUCAUGAAUUGGAACAAUUAAUAUUGUUAAAAAUGACUAUACUACCCAAGGUAAGCUAUAGAUUUAAUGCAAUUCCUAUCAAGAUACUAAUGACAUUCUUUGAAUCAAUAGAAAAAACAAUCCUAGAAUUCACAUAGAACCAUAGAAGAGCCCAAAUAGCAGCAAUACUCAGCAAAAAGAACAAAGCUGAAGGCAAUCACACUAACACAUUUCAGAAUAUACUACAAAGCUAUAGCAACCAAAACACUAUGCUAUUGGUAUAAAAACAGAUACACAGACCAGUGGAACAGAACAGAGAAUCCAGAAAUAAAUUCACAUAUUUACAGCCAGCCAAUUUUUGACAAAGUUGCCAGGAACAUACACUGAGGAAAGGACAUUCUUUUCAAUAAAUUGUGCUAAGAAAACUGGAUAUUCACAUGCAGAAGAAUGAAACUAGACCUCUAUCUCUCACAAUGUAUAAAAAUCAAUUCAAAAUGGAUUAAAGACUUAAAUACAAGACCUGAAACUAUAAAACUACUAAAAGAAAACAUAGAGGAAAUGCUUCAAGAUAUUGAUCUAGGCAAAGAUUUUAUGGCUAAGAUCUCAAAAGCAGGGGCAACCAAAACAAAAAUAGACAAAUGGAACGACAUUAAACUAAAAAGCUUCUGCGCAGGAAAGGAAACAAUCAACAGAGUGAAGAGAUAACAUGAACAAUGGAGAAAAAAUUGCUAACUAUUCAUCCAACAAGGGACUAAUAUCCAGAAUAUACAUAGAACUCAAAACAAUUCGACAGCAAAGAAUCAAAUAAUCUCACUAAAAAGUGAGCAAAGGACAUGAAUAGACAUUUCUAAAAAGACAAAUGGCUAACAGGUUUAGGAAAAACUGCUCAACAUCACGGAUCAUCAGGAAAAUACAGAUCAAAACCACAAUGAGAUACCAUCUCACCCCAGUUAGAAUGGUUAUUAUCAAAGUCAAAAAAUAACACAUGCUGGUGAUUAUGUGGAGAAAAGGGAACUCUUUAUGCAUUGUUGGGAAUGUAGAUUAGUACAACGACUAUGGAAAACAGUAUGAAAGUGUCUUUAAAAACUAAAAAUAGAACUACCAUCUGACCCAGCAAUCCCACUACUGUCUCUCUGUCCAAAGGAAAGGAAAUCAAUAAAUCAAAGGGACAACUGUACCCCCAUAUUUAUUGCUGCUCUAUUCACAACAGCCAAGGUAUGAAAUCAACCUAAGUGUCCAUCAACAGAUGAAUGAAUAAAGAAAAUAUGGUAUAUAUACACAACAAAAUACUAUUCAGCCAUUAAAAAUGAAAUCUCAUCAUAUGCGGCAACAGGGAUGGAAUUGCAAGUCAUUAUGUUUAGUGAAAUAAACCAGGCACAGAAAAACAAGUAUCACAUGUUCCCACUCAUAUGUGGGAGCUAAAAAGUUGACCUCAUGGAGGUAGGGAAUAGAAUGAUAGAUACCAGAGGCUGGGAAAGGGCUGGGGGGAUGAGGACAGAUUGGUUAAUGGGUACAAACAUACAGUUAUGUGGAAGAAAUAAGUUCUAGUGUUUAAUAGCACAAUAGAGUGUCUAUAGUUAACAAAAAAUAUAUUGCAUAUUUCAAAAUAGCUGAAAGAGAAGUUCUGAAAUGUUCCAAACACAAAGAAAUAAAUGCUUGAGGUAAUGGAUUUUCUAAAUAUGCUGAUUUGAUCAUUAUAUACUGUAUGCAUGUAUCAAACUAUCACAUGUACCUGAUACAUAGCAAUAUUAUGUAUUAAUAAAAAUUAAUAAAUAAUAAGUAAUAAACUUUAAAAAUAAUGUCCUUUAGAAAAGUUCUAAUUUUUUCCACAAAAAUUGAUAGUGUUAAAAAAUUAUAGCACCUCAAAAAAGACCUUUCACAAAAUAGAUGCUCAAAAAAUUCAUUGAAUUUUUGCCAAAUAAUUAUAAUUGUAAAAUUUUCCUUUUUACAAGGCUGUGAAGAAAUUGGAAUCCUCAUGCCAUACUUACUGGUGAGAUUGUAAGAUGAUGCAGUCACUUUGCAAACAGUCUGGGAAUUCCUCAAAAUAUUAAACAUAGAGUCACCCUAUGACCCAGUAAUUCUAUUUCUAGAUAUGUACCCAAAAGAAAUGGAAACAUAAUGCCACACUAAAACUUGUUCACAAAUGUUCAUGGCAGCAUUGUUCAUAGUAGCCAAAAAGUGAAAACCAUCCAAAUAUUCAUCAAGUGAUGAAUGGAUAAAUAAAGAUGUGGAAUACACAUACAAUGGAAUAUUACUCAGCUAUAAAAGGGAAAGACACUUACAAAUGCUACAUGAUAAAUGUGAAAGCAUUAUACUAAGUGAAAGAAGCCAGAGCCAGUCACAAAAUACCACAUAUCGUAUGAUGCCAUUUAUAGGAAAUGUCUAGAAUAGACAAGUCUAUGAGGACAGAAAGUUGUUUAGUGGUUGCCUAGGACUGAGGGUACAGGGUGGCAAGAGGGAGCUGCCAGGAAUGCAACAUGCUAAUGAAUAUGAAGUUUCUUUUGGGGUUCUAACAUGUUCUAGAAUUAGAUGGUGGUGAUGUUUGCACAACUCUGUGGUUAUACUAAAUAAAUGAACUGUACACUUUAAAUAUAUCUAAAUGUAUGUAAAUUAUAUCAUAAUGUCUGGGUUUUAUUAAUUGCCUUUUAAAUGUGGCUUUAGUUCUGUCUGUAUACUUCAUGAAAUGUAUCAAAGUAAUGCUAAAAUAAAACCAAUAAUUAAACCCAAUGAAUCACAA